rnacentral:rRNA from 1 species
GAUUCCCCCAGUAGCGGCGAGCGAACGGGGAGCAGCCCAGAGCCUGAAUCAGUGUGUGUGUUAGUGGAAGCGUCUGGAAAGGCGCGCGAUACAGGGUGACAGCCCCGUACACAAAAAUGCACAUGCUGUGAGCUCGAUGAGUAGGGCGGGACACGUGGUAUCCUGUCUGAAUAUGGGGGGACCAUCCUCCAAGGCUAAAUACUCCUGACUGACCGAUAGUGAACCAGUACCGUGAGGGAAAGGCGAAAAGAACCCCGGCGAGGGGAGUGAAAAAGAACCUGAAACCGUGUACGUACAAGCAGUGGGAGCACGCUUAGGCGUGUGACUGCGUACCUUUUGUAUAAUGGGUCAGCGACUUAUAUUCUGUAGCAAGGUUAACCGAAUAGGGGAGCCGAAGGGAAACCGAGUCUUAACUGGGCGUUAAGUUGCAGGGUAUAGACCCGAAACCCGGUGAUCUAGCCAUGGGCAGGUUGAAGGUUGGGUAACACUAACUGGAGGACCGAACCGACUAAUGUUGAAAAAUUAGCGGAUGACUUGUGGCUGGGGGUGAAAGGCCAAUCAAACCGGGAGAUAGCUGGUUCUCCCCGAAAGCUAUUUAGGUAGCGCCUCGUGAAUUCAUCUCCGGGGGUAGAGCACUGUUUCGGCAAGGGGGUCAUCCCGACUUACCAACCCGAUGCAAACUGCGAAUACCGGAGAAUGUUAUCACGGGAGACACACGGCGGGUGCUAACGUCCGUCGUGAAGAGGGAAACAACCCAGACCGCCAGCUAAGGUCCCAAAGUCAUGGUUAAGUGGGAAACGAUGUGGGAAGGCCCAGACAGCCAGGAUGUUGGCUUAGAAGCAGCCAUCAUUUAAAGAAAGCGUAAUAGCUCACUGGUCGAGUCGGCCUGCGCGGAAGAUGUAACGGGGCUAAACCAUGCACCGAAGCUGCGGCAGCGACACUAUGUGUUGUUGGGUAGGGGAGCGUUCUGUAAGCCUG